CUCGCCGCCCUUCGGGCUCAGCCCCGGGUGGACCUAGCCGUUAAAAACAAAAACAAAAACAAAAAACAAACAAAACAUCUGGAGCUCGAAACCAGCCCGGGAAGCCGCGGGGCCCCCUCCGCGCGUACUGCACCCCCGCUGCCCGCCCGCCUGCGCCCCGCGCCCAGCGCAGCAUGGAGCCCGGAGCCCGCAUUCCGAGCCCCGCGCCCCGCGCCGGGGAGGAGGGGCGGGGCGUGCGGCGCGAGCCCCGGGAAACAUGGCUGCUCGUCCUAUUUCGGCGUCUCGGCAUGGCCACCAGCUCCCGGAGCCCAGUUGGGAGAGGUGCCGAAGGAGGCAGCCCCUCUCCUCCUCCUCCCUCGUUAAUCUUCCCCCCAGACGGAGUCACGGGAGCAGCGAUCUCCGAGGGUGAUUUCGCCUCAUUCUCUCCGACCCAAACGCGUGCGCCCGCCGGCCCCCGAUGGGUGCACACUCGCACGCACACUCUCGCACCCACACUCGCACACGCGGGAGCACACGCACAGGUAGUCACACACCAAGGGCAGCGGUGGCGGCAGCCGGAACAUGCUCGGAUGGCAUUGCAACCCCCCAGCCUUGCCAUUCGCCUGCAGUCCGACCCCCAAACCCACACCUCCCAGGCGCCCCCCAUCAAAAAAAGUGCCUCCCCCCAGCGCGCACACACACACACAAAGUAGGAGAAUGGACCGACAGAGAUAUUUUUGGCAAAUGCUCACAUCAGAGGGCGUCCUGUUCCGCAGCUCUAAAUGAAUCCGUCUGCCCAUCUCCAUCUCUCGCGCUCUCUCUCUGCAGAGGCUCCCGCGCCGGCGGAUUUCAAUCAAUAAACCCCGAACCCACGGCCGCGCGUUUUAGGACUUUGAAGGCUCAACCAGCUCCGCUCGGUUCUCGAGCCCCCAGCACCCGCGGCGCACACUAACCUGAUCGCCGUGGAGGCGGGAUCUGCGGCCUCGCGGGCGAGCGGCAGCAGCUAGAGCCAAUCGCCACCGAGGGUCUCCGGGCAACAGCCAAUGGCAGCCGCGGCGGGGGGGGAAGGGACCAAUGGGCGGGCUGCGCAGCCGGCCAGGGAGGCUCGGCCAUUUGGUUGUGGUGCCGGAGACGGACCCCUUUAGAUUUCGGGGCGGCUGAGGAGCGCGGCGGCUGCUCUGUGGCUGAGUGAGGGGGGUGGGCGGAAUGGCGGGGGAAGGGAAGGUGACUGUGCCUCGAGGGCCAAGGCGCCCGGCCUCGCCAGCCCGCCGCCGCCUCAGCGUUCGGCCGGGGGCGGGGCCGCAGGUGCGUUCUACGAGGGGGAGGGGCGCGGCCGGAGGGAUCGGGUCGGGGUCCCCGCCCGGCUUAGGGCUUCGCGGGGCGGCGCGACCGGGUUGCGGAAGGAGGCGGGAGGCCUGAGGUCCGGGGGGCCGCGGGCUGCCCUGCGGGAGGGCGGAUGAAAGGCCUGGAAGGAGGGGAGGGGUCAGGGUGCAGUGCGGGGAGGGGCUCGUCGUGUCCCGGGUCCCGCGGGUAGCGCUGGGGAGCGUGGCUGCCCCAGCCACCCUCGCCGCGGCCGCCCUGCCCGCGCGCCCCUUCCCUCCGGCCUCGUCCGGGUCAGGUGGCCGCCAUCGCCACCCUCGAAUGCAUAAGUCAAUAAAAGCAAGAUGCUUCCACUUUUGGAUGACUUACCGCGCGGUCGCGACCCUUGCUACGAAGAGGCUUUUCAGUUUGCUGUCAUGUAAGGUCAGCUUGGAAGACGGGAUCACCAGGAGACACCCAAGAUCUUGUUUAGGCAAUAAAUGAAUGAAGAUCAUGGAUUAAGAUCUGUUGCUGGAUAUAUAGAAUAUUAAAAGGUGUAAAAGGAGGGUGCUCAUAACUCCUGGUUUUCUGGACCAAACAUAAUUUAUGGGCUUUAUAGACCUAGUGAAAGAGAACGGCGCAGAGUUUAUUCUAAUCGUCCACCUGAGUCAUUUGGUUCUAUUCGGGUUGCCAAGGAGGCUCUAACUGGAGCACUUUGUCCAGGUUUUUCGGCGUGCUUGCCUUGGGUAUUUUUGAAUCACACUAAGUUUUAAGAGACCUUAAAGCCCUGAUGCCCACUGCGUUACCGACUUGUGGCAGUAAGUUGGCUGCCUGUAGCUGUUAAUAAACCACGAGGAUUGUCGUCAACAAGGACAGAUACAUCCUGAUUUUACCUUUCCACACGACUGUAUUUUAGUGUCUGUUUCUACAUGUCUCCACUCAUCCCCACACACCUCAAGGUAGUUUUCUCUUUCUGGAUACAUGGUGUUUAUUUUUCAGGAACAUGAGUUCAAAGGGGGAAAUAAGUAUGUAUGUUGCAAAGUUUAAAAUAAUGUUACGUAGUACCAAUACAGUUCCAUUAUUAGACGUAUAAAGUUGAGGAAAUAAGAAGUGACAGUGUAAAUAAAACACAUAUAGAAUGGUUACACUGGGGAAGAAGCUGUAGUAACUUAAAUAUUGCAACCUGAUGGAUCGCAAGCUUAAAGCCCUGGAACUAGGGAUUUGACUUUUCAGAUAAAGUGAUAAAUGAAAUUUGAAUUCUGAUGUUUACUCUGAGUAGAUGGGAAAUGCAACAUAAAAGUUAAAAGUCAUCGUUUUAUUUCAUCUGGGUGUAAAUCAUAAUUUAUUUAAAUUGUUGACUUAGUGGUCAUCCUUAGAUUUUGUUAAUCUUAUUGAAGCCUGUUUGUACAGUUGGAAUUUAUCCUUUUUUGAGUUUCAUUGACUUCUUUGUAAUACAUGAGGCUCCCCAAGUUACCUAUUAAGGCCAUUGAGUCAGUUGUUAUUUCUGGAUAUGGUAUUUAAGGUUGUAUUCAGACAGAGCUCUUAUCAAAACAGGUAAAUAUAGUGUGUAUGAUCUAUGUAACAGGAUUCCCUAAGUUUGUGCUCUCUUGGAUGGUGAGUGUUCAUCUUCAAUUUAAAAGUUUAACCACGGUUAAGACUACGCUGCUAGCAAUGCGAUAUGAGACAGUGUCUUUCCAGAGGAGUAAUCCCUUAAAAACCAACCAAUCAAAUGCAGAGAAUGCCCCAUCCAGCUCUGCUAAAUAGAAGCAAAUAGCUCACUUCAUUGUACAAAUAGCUCACUCUACUGAAGAGGAAGACUCAGAAGCUAACCCCUCCCCCAUUAAAGAGAAAGUACAGAACAAAUUAAAAUUAGAACUGAAAAAAUCAUGACCUGGUUACAAAAUACAUUAAACGUGAUAGUUGAUUUUAGAAGCAUCUUACUUUUGUACAUUUUGAUUACUUUUGUAUUAAUAUUAGAAAAUUGAAAGAGGAUUCACUGUAUGUCAGUCAUUACAAAAGCUGAAAUAUCCAAAAGUAUAUGUGUGACCAAUUAAAUACUUUCUGCUUUCCUUACAUACUUGAAAUAAAUUUUCUUUUGCUUUUACAAAUCUAUUUGUAAGAAAGUUUUUAUAUGAUUUUGCUUUUUUAUUUAAAAGAAAAAAGGAAUAUAGCUCAGCCAAAGCUGAGCCAUUUGCCCCACACAGUAUUAAAAAAAAAACACUGCUCUUACAAUCUUAUUUUACGAAGUUGUUUUUAAAAUUACAUUUCAUUGUAUAUUAUAGUAGUAAAUCAGUGCUCUAAGUGGCACUGCAUUUCAGAAAAUAUAAAAAGAAGUCCCAUAUCAAGGAAUCCUGGCUGAAUUUUGAAACAGUGGGAACAGGUGAACGUUCCUAACUACUGAGUAAUUCUACAAUAGGAAUUAGGUUAUGAAAGAUGUAGAGUCUCUAACCUCUGGAACUAGGUUUGAUUCACACUGAGAAAAAUAAAUGAGAUACAAUUCAAAGUCUGACCCGCUGGAGAGAGAGAUGGUCAAGGAAGGAAAGAUCUUCCUGCCUCCCAGAAUAUCUUCCAUCCAGAACCAUUUCAAAUACAUGAGCAACCUAUUUUGUUCUCAAAGAUAUAUGAGCAAUGAGUAUCCUUGGGCUCUUUUGAAAUGUGUAAGAGAGUACUGUUUUACAAAUAACCAUAUAGUUACUAUUGCCAUUUUAUUGGGUUGGUGCAAAAGUAACUCUUAAAAAAAAAAAAAAAAAAAAAAGUAAAAAACCGCAAUUACUUUUGCACCAGUAGCUCAUUUGCCCUUGUUUAGGCUCUAAAGAUACAGACCCUUUGAUUAGCAUCCUUUUUAUGAGUCGAGCUAAUAUACUUUUUGUUAUUCAGCUUCAAUCACAUACUCUGGCAGGUGGCCAUAGUACUGUGUCACCUACAUCAUGGUUCUGCUGCUUGGACCCCAAAGAUAAUGAUACGGAAGAACUCCAGCUUAAUUAUCUUCUCUUUCCUUUGUAUAUAUAAAGAGUUUUUAGGAAUGUAGAUUGUCCUUUUGAAAUCUGUGGUAACAAAUGUGAAGACUACUACAUUUUUAUUUGAAUAGCAAAAUAAUAUUGAAGCCUGGGAUCUAAAGAGUUAAAUAUUCCUUAUUUUCUUUUGCUUAAUAAUGUAUUGGAUGAUUUAGGAAAAAAAAAACUUUUUAAUGAUGGAAUAGUUACCUUAUCAAUGGGUUGGUCAUGGAGAAAAAGUACUGUUUGGUGAAAACAGGCAUGUUUGUGACUUUUAAAAUGACAUUAAUAAGCCAGGCAUAGUGAUGUGCCCCAGUAUGUACAGCUACUUGGGAGGCUGAAGUGAAAGGAUCUCUUGAGCCCAGGAGUUCAAGGACAGCUCAGACAGCAUAGCAAGAUCUGUUUCUCUAAAAACAAAAACAAAAUAAUAAAAAUCUUAAAAACAGCUUAAAGAUGGUUGGUUUCUUUUGAAAAGGAAAAAAAAAAAAUUGCCCUGGUGCUGUGGCUCAUGCCUGUAAUCCCAGCACUUUGGGAGGCCUCAGGCAGAUUGCUUGAACUCAGAAGUUUGAGACCAGCCUGGGCAACCUGGUGAAAUCCCAUCUCUACCGAAAAUGCAAAAAAAAAAAAAAAAUUAGCCUGGCAUGUUGGCAUGCACCUGUGGUCCCAGGUACUCCAGAGGCGGAGGUGGGAGGAUCACCUGAGCCUGGGAGGUGAAGGUUGCAGUGAGCCUGCAAGAGAUCAUGCCUCUGUACUCCAGCCUGGGUGACAGAGCCAGACCUCCUCUUGAAGAAAAAAGAAAAAAAGGCUGGGUGCGGUGGCUCACGACUGUAAUCCCAGCACUUUGGGAGGCCAAGAUGGGUGGAUCACCUGAGGUCAGGAGUUUGAGACCAGCCUGGUCAACAUGGUGAAACCUCAUCUCUACUAAAAAAAAAAAAAAAAAUUUGUUGGGCGUGGUGACAGUAAUCCCAGCUACUCAGGAGGCCAAGGCAGAAUUACUUGAACCCGGGAGACAGAUGUUGCAGUGAGCUGAGAUCACAUCAUUGCACACCAUCAGGCCUGGGUGAUGAAUGAAAUUCCGUCUCAAAUAAAUAAAAAUAAAAUCACUUUCACACUUGUUUGGAAAUCUCUAGAAAUUUUGUGGAUCGGUUUCUUAAAUAUAUUUAUUAAAGGCAGUUUUGAAGUAGUAAUAAGGGAAGUUUGUUUACUGUCCAUCAGGAAGAAAACCAGAGCAGUAAGCUCUUACUUUUAGUAUUAAGAUGCGGCUAUGAAGGAAUAAAAAAAUGCCUGCCUUAAAGAGAAAUAAUGGAAUGAGGAGCAAUUGUGGUCGAAAAAAUAGAAAUACAAUUAAUUUAGAGUCUACUAAUUUGUUUUAAUCCAUCUGGAGUUGAAGUUUACUUCUAUGACAAAUACUAAAAUCUAUUAAGAUAUGAGGUAGAGAUCAGACUUUUUAAGAACUUUUAAUAUUUUUACUAUUUGCAAAGACAUAACUUCCGUAUACAUAGUAAAAUUAUGUAUACAAUAAUUAAGUCCUCUUAGAUUCUGUGCUUUGUAAUGACAAUUAUUUAUACCUCUAAGUAACAAUCUAUUUGUAAAAAAAAGUUGUGUACAACACCUCUUGAAUUAGAGAUCAAUUUAAUGCAUUCUGAGAAAUUAGUAAAUUUUUUAACAUAAUUGAAAUAUUGGGUCUUUUCAGGUGAGUAUAUGAAUACCCUAAACUUUCUUUAGAAGUUCUGGAUCCAAGCAACUUUAAUAUAAAAACCUUGAAUUCAUUUGUACAUGACAAAAUGAGAUAGCCAUGAUAGGUGUUGGAGGACUUUUACCCAGUGGAGGAACACGUUUUACUCUGUUGGAUUUUUUUUUCUUUCUUUUUGAGACGGUCUCACUGUCACUGAGGCUGGAGAGCAGUGAUGCAAUCAUGGCACACUGCAAUCUUGACCUGUUGUGCUCAAGCAAUCCUCCUGCCUCAGCCUCCCAAGUAUCUGGGGCCACAGGCAUGUGCCACCACACCUGGCUAAUUUUUAAAUUUUUAAUUUAAUUUAAUUUUUUUGAGAUGGAGUCUUGCUCUGUUGCCCAGGCUGGAGUGCAGUGGCACGACCUUGGCUCACUGCAACCUCCACCUCCUGGGUUCAAGUAAUUCUCCUGCCUCACCUUCCUGGGUAGCUGGGACUGCAGGCGUGUGCUACCACGCAGAGCUGAUUUUUGUAUUUUUAGUGAGAUUGGCUUUCACCAUAUUGGCCAGACUGGUCUCAAACUCCUGACCUCAUGAUCUGCCUGCACUGGCCUCCCAAAGUGCUGGGAUUACAGGCAUGAGCCACUGCGCCUGGCCCAAUUUUUAAAUUUUUUAUAGAGAUGAGGUCUAACCAUGUUGGCUAGGCCAGUCUCAAACUUCUGGGCUCAAGCAAUCCUCCUGCCUGGGCCUUCCAAAGUUCUGGGAUUACAGAUGUGAGUCAUGGCUCCCAGCCUUGCACUGGUCUUAUAAUUAUGUAUCUGAAGUUAUUGUAUAUGCCUUCUUGUAUAUAAGAAUGAUCACUUCUACAUACAUUUAUUGAAAGGCAAGUUGAGUAAGUGUGACACACAUUUUUCACUAGGCUAGACCAACUCAUGUCUGUGUUUAUGUUGAGAAGUAAUUCUAUAGAUAAGGGAGAAUAGCAGACAAAUUCAGGAUACGAGUGUGCAAAGCUGCAUAACAGAUUUGUUGAUCAUGGUAUCAUAGCACUUUUGUAAUAGUGAAAGAAAAGAAAGGGGAAGAAGGGAAAUGAAAAAGAAAAAACAGAAAAUAUUCAUAUGCCCAGGAAAAGGGUCCUGGAGAGUAUGUACCAAAAAAUGUUUAAAAACUUGGAUUACAGUGGUUUUGCAAUGGGUGGUGAGGUCAUAGUGGUUUUUGGUUUUGGGGUCUUUUGUGUAUAUUUAAAAAGUUUUCCAUUGAUAAUUUUUGCAAUUAAAGAGUUACUUUAAUGGAAAUUAUAGGUGUAGAUGAUAUGUGGAAUGUUUACGCUAGUCACAAUUUUUGGUGGAGACAACAGAAAUGUACCCUGACCAACGCAAGAAAAAGGCAAUUUUUAUAAGUCUGUCACAGAGCCAAGGAAAAACAAGUUCCAGGGAAGAAUCAGAAGCCAGGAAAGCUGGCAGCCUGGAGCACAGCCAAGAUGAUCCCUGUCCUAGGUACAGUCUGCAGAGGACCCCGCACCUCACAAGCCAUCUCUAUCAUGUGGACUCUGAACCCCACCGUACCUACAAUGAUCUCAGCAUCCUGCCUUUUUGUGUCACUCCCUCGAGGUUCAAAGCCCUUGGCAAGAAGAUUUACAGAAUUUACAGAUGCCCCAGCUGUCAGAGAAAAAAGAUUAUCUUCCCCCUUUAGCUACCACAGUGGGAUGUGUGACCCUCCCUCCUGUCUAUUUUAGGACUGUGCCUAACCCAAGUGUUCUGGUGCUAGGUGACCAAAACCAAAAAUCCAUGAACACGUUCUAACAAAAUAAUACUAUGAAGGUUUCCUGAUGUUCCAUAUCACUCCCAUAAUAUCUCCCUUCCUCCUCUCUAGUACUUACCAGCAAGACACUGUAUCACCUGUUUAGGAUCAAUGUAAAGUAGAGCUAAUACCUGAAAUCCCAGUUUCUUUCCAAAUGCUUCCCUUUCCAAAUUUGAAGCCAGAAGAAAAUAUAUUACUGCUGUUGCCGGUAAGACUUUAUCGGCCAGGCACGGUGGGUGACACCUGUGAUCCCAGCAGUUUUUGAGGCCGAGGUGGCAAAAUAAGUUGAGGUCAGGAGUUCAAGACCAGCCUGCCCAAUGUGGUGAAACCCCAUCUCUACUAAAAGUACAAAAAUUAGUUCAACAGGAUGGCGCACACCUGUAAUCCCACCUACUUGGGAGGCUGAGGCAGGAGGACCACUUGAACCUGGGAGGUAGAGAUUGCAACUAGCCAACACGGUACUUACAGCCUGGGUGACGGAGGCUCAAAGAAAAAAGGCUUUACCAAAGCAGAGCUGGUGAUAACCUUAAGACUUGGAAAGGAAAUAUCCCCAGUAGAAAUAUUUGAUUUUAAAUUACAAGGAAUUUAGUCCUAAAGGAUAAUCUACAUAUUUCAUAGAUAAAUGCAGAUACCUCUAGAUAUCAAAUGAUAUAAGAUUUGAGCAGUGAUGGAUUACUGCUACUGGGUUUCUGUCUGCUACUCUGAGGACAAGUUCAGGCUCAAGUGCAGAACUAAGAUGAAGGGUAUGAGAUUUGUAGUCAAAAUCUUCCGGAAGUAGGAAGGUAGUCACAGACAAAGACAGAGUAAGCGUUCAUCACAGGAUGCGGUCAUUGAAGGACAGUUUUGAAGAAUAAAAGCUGAUCGUGAAACCAAUGCAAAAACCAUAAACACAUUGAAGAGGCCUUUAUUCCUGGGAACAAAGAGGAAGGUUAUCAAGGAUGUGCUUGUAGAAAACAUAUUAAUGCUGGAAUAUUGUCUUCCUUCCCAUCAUUUCAGGUCAGUUAGCUACUCAGCUAGAAAAAAGAAAUGAUGCCCUUGUGAGGACUCUGAGCAAUACUGGAAUUCAGCUGUUUUGUUUCUAAUAAAACAUGGUUUAACUGUUA